CAAAUAAUAGCUUAAGUUUAAGUGUCUUAUUUACAUUAAGAAGAAAAUUGUGAGAUUCAGUUUUAUUUGA
rnacentral:tRNA from 1 species